rnacentral:rRNA from 1 species
AGAGUUUGAUCAUGGCUCAGAACGAACGCUGGCGGCAUGCCUAACACAUGCAAGUCGGACGCUUUUGGGGCUUCGGCCUCAAGGGAGUGGCGGACGGGUGAGUAGCGCGUGGGAACCUGCCUUGGAGUGGGGGAUAACCGAGGGAAACUUCGGCUAAUACCGCAUGCGCCCCGGCGCGAGCCGGGGGAAAGAUUGAUCGCUCCAAGAGGGGCCCGCGUCGGAUUAGGUAGUUGGUGGGGUAACGGCCUACCAAGCCGGUGAUCCGUAGCUGGUCUGAGAGGAUGAUCAGCCACACUGGGACUGAGACACGGCCCAGACUCCUACGGGAGGCAGCAGUGGGGAAUAUUGGACAAUGGGCGCAAGCCUGAUCCAGCAAUGCCGCGUGAGUGAUGAAGGCCUUAGGGUUGUAAAGCUCUUUCGGCGGGGACGAUGAUGACGGUACCCGCAGAAGAAGCCCCGGCUAACUUCGUGCCAGCAGCCGCGGUAAUACGAAGGGGGCGAGCGUUGUUCGGAUUUACUGGGCGUAAAGGGCGCGUAGGCGGCGGACCUUGUCGAGUGUGAAAGCCCCGGGCUCAACCUGGGAGGUGCGCUCGAAACGGGUUUGCUGGAGUUCGGGAGAGGAGCGUGGAAUUCCCAGUGUAGAGGUGAAAUUCGUAGAUAUUGGGAAGAACACCGGUGGCGAAGGCGGCGCUCUGGACCGAGACUGACGCUGAGGCGCGAAAGCGUGGGGAGCAAACAGGAUUAGAUACCCUAGUAGUCC